AUGAACGCUAGCUACAGGCUUAACACAUGCAAGUCGAGGGGAAACGACAUCGAAAGCUUGCUUUUGAUGGGCGUCGACCGGCGCACGGGUGAGUAACGCGUAUCCAACCUGCCCACCACUUGGGGAUAACCUUGCGAAAGUAAGACUAAUACCCAAUGAUAUCUCUAGAAGACAUCUGAAAGAGAUUAAAGAUUUAUCGGUGAUGGAUGGGGAUGCGUCUGAUUAGCUUGUUGGCGGGGUAACGGCCCACCAAGGCAACGAUCAGUAGGGGUUCUGAGAGGAAGGUCCCCCACAUUGGAACUGAGACACGGUCCAAACUCCUACGGGAGGCAGCAGUGAGGAAUAUUGGUCAAUGGACGAGAGUCUGAACCAGCCAAGUAGCGUGCAGGAAGACGGCCCUAUGGGUUGUAAACUGCUUUUAUAAGGGAAUAAAGUGAGUCUCGUGAGACUUUUUGCAUGUACCUUAUGAAUAAGGACCGGCUAAUUCCGUGCCAGCAGCCGCGGUAAUACGGAAGGUCCGGGCGUUAUCCGGAUUUAUUGGGUUUAAAGGGAGCGUAGGCCGGAGAUUAAGCGUGUUGUGAAAUGUAGGCGCUCAACGUCUGCACUGCAGCGCGAACUGGUUUCCUUGAGUACGCACAAAGUGGGCGGAAUUCGUGGUGUAGCGGUGAAAUGCUUAGAUAUCACGAAGAACUCCGAUUGCGAAGGCAGCUCACUGGAGCGCAACUGACGCUGAAGCUCGAAAGUGCGGGUAUCGAACAGGAUUAGAUACCCUGGUAGUCCGCACGGUAAACGAUGGAUGCCCGCUGUUGGUCUGAAUAGGUCAGCGGCCAAGCGAAAGCAUUAAGCAUCCCACCUGGGGAGUACGCCGGCAACGGUGAAACUCAAAGGAAUUGACGGGGGCCCGCACAAGCAGCGGAGCAUGUGGUUUAAUUCGACGCAACGCGAAAAACCUUACCAAGACUUGACAUCCUACUAAACUCAUGGAAACAUGAGGUGACUUCGGUCGAGUAGAGACAGGUGGUGCAUGGUUGUCGUCAGCUCGUGCCGUGAGGUGUCGGCUUAAGUGCCAUAACGAGCGCAACCCCUCUCCUUAGUUGCCAUCAGGUCAAGCUGGGCACUCUGGGGACACUGCCACCGUAAGGUGUGAGGAAGGUGGGGAUGACGUCAAAUCAGCACGGCCCUUACGUCCGGGGCUACACACGUGUUACAAUGGCAGGUACAGAGAGACGGUCCCUUGCAAAACGGAUCAAAUCCUUAAAGCCUGUCUCAGUUCGGACUGGGGUCUGCAACCCGACCCCACGAAGCUGGAUUCGCUAGUAAUCGCGCAUCAGCCAUGGCGCGGUGAAUACGUUCCCGGGCCUUGUACACACCGCCCGUCACACCACGAAAGUUGGUAACACCCAAAGCCGGUGAGGUAACCUAUAAGGAGCCAGCCGUCUAAGGUGGGGCCGAUGAUUGGGGUG
rnacentral:rRNA from 1 species